UUCUAGGACUUGAAUGUCACCAGAGGAAUAAAAAAUGAGGGUAAAAAAGGUAGACUAUAAUUCUGAAAGCAAUAGGGGAAGAAAAUUUUUUUAGUUUCACCAUAUUAAGUACAUUGCUUCCUUUGCUUAGGCCGUGGCAUUUUUUAUUUUUUCCUUUUGUUUGUUCACCACCAUUAGAUAAGAACCAAAAUUUUAACUAUUGGCAUUAAAAGCAAGAAGAAAAUACUUGAAUUCUGUUUGGUGAUGGUUUAAUUGAUUCUAUGCCUGUCCUUUAAGGGCACACUGGAAUGGCAGGUAAGUCUGGCCUGUUAAAUGCUGAUGCGGUGUCAGGGGAAUCUUGAUCCAAUUUUUCACUAGAACAUAGUCUGACAUUCUACUCCACUCGCCACUGUCAAUGUCAGAGGAAGUGUCAUUAUUUGAACAAUAGCAUCUUCCAGAAGAAAAGACACCAUGUUUACUUUUAAGAAUGUCAGCCAUUGUACAUUUAGAAGCAUUUUCUGGGGUUAGCAGAAACAUAUUUGACUGGACUAAAAGCAAAACUCCUCUUCCAUGCUGAGUAUCACAGAUGCAAGACUAGAAGGACUUUUAAGAGGCUAACCAGCCUCAUCUCCUGCCUUCAGAAUACAGCCUGGAAAGCUUGAAUUCUAGAUUCCUCAGUCUGUUUCAGUUAGGAGAGACCACAUGACAGAGCUCUGUAUAAGGAG
rnacentral:lncRNA from 1 species